CUAUACAUGUAUUGAAAAAAGAAUUCAAUUCAGCUGUCUUAAGCAGGUAAUGUACCCCAUUUCGUUUAGUGUAUCAAAUUUGCUCUAUACAGUUUAGCUUUUAUUCUGAUGUACUGAAUUGCAAUGUUGAAUUUAAAUUACUUACUUACUUACUUGUUUAUUUUUCCUUUCAAGUGCCAGACCCAAAACCUGUAGAGCCUGAGCCGGGACCAAUACUUGUGAAUGAUUUCCCUCCUGCUGAUGACCCAUUAGAGGUGCCUGGACCAUCACAUUGUGCCAGUGAUAGUGCAUCCAGUACACCUGGAUAUUUCACAGAAGAAGGUUCGACAGAUGAGCAGACUGGAUUUGCAGAAGACAGGUCAACUGAGAAGCAUAAACGAGAGGAUAUGGAUGUAAAGUACGAGUUGCAAAGUCUGAAGUCAAAAUACAAAAAACUGAACCACCGAGUCAAGAUGCUUGAAAAACAGUUGGAGAAGAAGCUACUAAGGCAGGAAGAAGAUGAUGCCAAGGAUCACUUUGAAAACCUUAUGAAGACAGUUGUGUACUUGAAGGAGGAAAGGGAAGUUCUAAAAAGUUUAACUCUUAAGCUGUUUGAUAAGGAUGAACUUGUCAGUAGUUCCAUAAGUGGUAAAAGAUCUGCUUAAAGUGGGGAUGUAGCCCGUACUCCAUUAGAUUCAACAAAAUUAUGUUUACUAGAGCGCUGCGUACGCCAAAAGUGCCCAGAAGUAACCCAUAAACAAUUUAUUGAGAAACUACAAAAUGUUCAGAAAGUACUUCGGAGAGAAAAAAAAACAGUAAUGCAUGUAAUGUUCAAGAAAUAUUCAGUAAAGGAGUUUUAGAAAGGAAUUCAUUGUUUGUGUUUUUUCUUUUCAUUAAAUUCAUGAAAUAUUGCAACCAUGUUUAAUGAAACUGCUGAUUCGUUAAUGAACUGUUCAGGGAUUUUGUGUCAUGUA